rnacentral:rRNA from 1 species
UACGGAAGGCAGCAGUGGGGAAUAUUGCACAAUGGGCGCAAGCCUGAUGCAGCCAUGCCGCGUGUAUGAAGAAGGCCUUCGGGUUGUAAAGUACUUUCAGUCGUGAGGAAGGUGUUAAGGUUAAUAACCUUAGCAAUUGACGUUAGCGACAGAAGAAGCACCGGCUAACUCCGUGCCAGCAGCCGCGGUAAUACGGAGGGUGCGAGCGUUAAUCGGAAUUACUGGGCGUAAAGGGCACGCAGGCGGUUAAUUAAGUUGGAUGUGAAAUCCCCGGGCUUAACCUGGGAAUGGCAUUCAAGACUGGUUAGCUAGAGUCUUGUAGAGGGGGUAGAAUUCCAUGUGUAGCGGUGAAAUGCGUAGAGAUGUGGAGGAAUACCGGUGGCGAAGGCGGCCCCUGGGACAAAGACUGACGCUCAUGUGCGAAAGCGUGGGGAGCAAACAGGGUAUUAGACU